rnacentral:rRNA from 1 species
GUCUUUGACUCAGUGCAUGCUACUAUGUGAUACGUUUUCAAAGAGUCGAGUUGUUUGGGAAUGCAGCUCAAAAUGGGUGGUAAAUUUCAUCUAAAGCUAAAUAUUGGCGAGAGACCGAUAGCGAACAAGUACCGUGAGGGAAAGAUGAAAAGAACUUUGAAAAGAGAGUUAAACAGUGCGUGAAAUUGUUGAAAGGGAAACGCUUGACACCAGUCAUGCGAGUGGAAAAUCAGUCUUUUGCAGUGGGGAGUUGUGGGCGUUCAGACCGCAAGGCUGGCGUUUGCUUCAUCUUUGUUGUAAGGGAUGCACUUUUUCAUUUGCAGGUCAACAUCAGUUUGCUUUGCUGGACAAAACCCCAAGGGAAGGUAGCAGCUUAGGCUGUGUUAUAGCCCUGGGGCGAUACAGUGGAGUGGACUGAGGUUUUCGCAGUGUGUGCUCUCUGGGCAAGGCUGACUGGGUGCUAUGGGAUCGUUCGGCGUACAAUGCAUGCAUUUGCGUCGUGUCUUUUUCAUACUCGCUCAACUCGGCUCUUCCACACUUAGGA